rnacentral:rRNA from 1 species
UACAGAGGUCCCGAGCGUUGUUCGGAUUCAUUGGGCGUAAAGGGUGCGUAGGCGGUUCUCUAAGUCAGUUGUGAAAUACUUCAACUUAACUGGAGAGGUGCAAUUGAUACUGGAGGACUUGAGUACUGAUGAGGUAGGCGGAAUGGACGGUGUAGCGGUGAAAUGCUUAGAUAUCGUCCAGAACACCGAUAGCGAAGGCAGCUUACUAAGGAGUAACUGACGCUGAGGCACGAAAGUGUGGGGGAUCAAACAGG